UUCUGUCUCAACUCUUGGUAUCCAGGGAAAACUCCUCUCAACUUCAUCAUUGAACCAUGCCCAUUGUCUCCCACUUUGAUAAGUGCAAAUAAAAAUAACUAUUCCAAUUUCUUUUUGAAAGAGGAAAGAAUAUUCAUUAGAGUAAGUAGACAAGAUUUAUUACAACAGGAAUAUGAUACUGGUAAGCAGCAGUCAAGGUGAUUUUUCUAAACACACUGCUGACAGCCAUGGGCUUCUGGAUGCAUUUUUCUGCCACGUCUCCUCAGUUAUCCUUGGUUCCAGGUGUAUCCGUUAUCCUGGAAGGCAGCCAGAGAAGGAAUCGGAAGAGGUGGGGGUCUCUGAUGGUCGAGCAACAUGAGGGCUUUAUCUUCAACAAAGGGCUUUCAAUUUUCUUUAUGAGACUUGGUCUUUGAAGCCCCUCAUCGUCUGGAAGCCUGCACUGCAUCAGAAGUUGGAAGUAGCCUGUUAUUGAUUGCAGCUGCGUCCUUGUUUGGCAGAAGAAGGUGUAGAAAGCAAAUGCAGUCCCAUUUGGCAAGGACAAGUUCCAGGUGAGCAACAAUCAGGAAAGAUGCCUGGAGGCAAGGUUACAAGCCAUGAGACAGAACUGACAGUCCCAGGAUAGAUAUUAAGUGCCUUGUCUUUCAAAGCGAACUUCCCUCUCAGAAGUGCUGGGGACCAAAACCAGCUUCCUGUAGACCCAGCCGCCUCCACAUCUGAACCGGGCCUAUAGAAUGAUAUUUGGAGAUUAACCUUGGAAGUGUUAGCUACUUACAAAACCCCUAAAAUUCCCUGAUGUGACGAUCUGCCCUUUUGCUGAGGACAAAUCUGAAUUUUCUCCUGCAGAGUUUGAGUUCUUUAUCUGCUGAGUGAACUUAACAGCCAACCCAGCAAGCACAUCACAGAGGAGUUUUGUUGUAGAAGAAGAGCAGCUCUUCAGGUGGAAGAAUGACCUGAUUUCUUUGUUAAAAACAAAAGUUCUGAAAUUUGUGCCAUUUGCUGGACUGGCAAUAACAAUGUAAAGAAAGUCGAAAGGACUUCGGGUUAAAUGUGGAAGAUGACAUAUAGGUGUAUAUCUUCUUUCCUUGAAAUGUCACUGAAACUGAGUAAGGGGAUUUAUAAAGCGGAAAUGUGUAAGAACCAAGAGAACAAGAGAAGAGGCAAUAGGAAACAAAGGUUGGGAACAGAUUUUUGGAAGAUGGGCAGUGGAUUAAGGAGUAGAACUGACUAAGCUCAGCAGAGGAAGUCACAACCCAAGUGCCCAAGAAGCAGACACUGCAGGAUUUACUCACCUAGGAUCCU
rnacentral:lncRNA from 1 species